CCUACGGGUGUUUGCCUGGAGUUAGAGGGAAUCCCCGGGAAUUAUAGUCUCGCGGGAUUGACUCUGAGGGAACGGGUCCCAGGGUACCAGUAGGCGCGCCCUUGCACGCCUUCACUUUUCAGCCCUGUCACACCUGCGAAGUCUACUGUGUUGUCUUUCAACCCUAUAAUUUACUCUUCCCCGCUUUAAGAGCGGCCUGUUCACUAAAACAUAAACCCAUGCUCAGAACUCGACUUUUCCUCCCUUGAACUUCUCCGCCUUCAAGACUCUCCAGUGACAGUGUAGCUGCCUGGACUCAUGGCAGACCUCGUCGCAAAAAGUUGCUAUGUACCGGGACACAGGAGUGCUGAGUUAUAGGCAGUUGGCUUGCUAAGAUGGGAAAAGCAAGACACAGAGAGGUGAAGUAAGUUGUACAAAGUCCAACAGCAAGUGAUGGAAUCACCAGCAGAACCCAAGCAUCAGAUUCCAGAGCCGCAUACUUAGCCACUGAUAUACUGCCUCCCACAAAUGGUGCCUCAAGCUCAUCAGGUUAUCCCUAAAGUGACUUAGGCGCUGAGGAUACAGCGGUGAACCUGGCAAAGCCCCCAGGCGGAGGAAACAGGAAGCAGCCCUCCAGAGAUGAAAUGCCAGGGUUGGCAGGAGAUUCCAAGCGGACUCGAACCCACAUCUACCGGCCCCGCAUCUGCAGUCCGACCCAAUACGGAGGACAAGCGUUGGCAGCGGAGCACUGACAGUAGAAGGAAGGAUUGCCAGCUGAACAGUGAAGCUUAGUGGUUCGGAGCACAGGACUUUGGAGCCGGCUCAUAUAGACACUUGAGUGCUGACUCCACAUCUUUUCCAGCUCUACAUGCAGG